AGCUUAAAGUCCAUACCAAUACCUGUUACAUGUAGAUUUUUGGUAAAGAUGACUGGAUUCUGUAGGUGUCUUUGAGGAUCAGCUGUAUCAGAUGAAUGAAUCAAAAAUGUAUGGUGGCUGUAUCCCACACUAUUUUUGUCACUGAAGAUUGUGUAGGGCAUAGUAAUAGACUUAUGGCAAAUCAACUUUGCCCUAAGAUUGCAGAUUGCAGUUCAAUCUGGACAGAAAGCAGACCCGGACUGGAGCCUGUAGCUUGAGGCCUCAGCUGUUUAGGAGGUUCAGAAAGUGAGGCAAAGACAAAUACAGAGGCAGUCCAUCUGUCACAAGCAAUAUCCAGGUGGGUUUAUAGUUCAGUUAGUGUUUGUCCUUUGGGACGGAGUUGGACCUUGGAGCAACAAUCGUGGACUAGAAGUUGGGAGCCGUUGAGGGAGUUUGGGGCAGAAUCCUAGAAGACCUAAGGUACGUGUUGUCCACAAGAAUCUGGAUGUUCCCACAGUGUUCUCUGUUCCACCUUGAGAUUGCCUCUCAGUGGUAUAAAAACCACUAUGUAGUAGGAGUAGGUAGACUGAAUGCUGGGGGAAACCCAUGACUGGAAUUUAUACCCUGGCUAGACUUACUAGCUGGAACUCUGAUCAUUGCCUUUUCUUUGAUGUGAAUCACACUAAGUUGGAGAUGAUACAUGAGAACUGGGAGGAUAGUAGGAAUCACUCAGGCUGGCAUCCCCACAGGGAGAUGUAAACUGUCACUUCCCCCAAGUCACACAGCUCUCCGUCGGAUGCCUAUCCAGCAGUUCUCACCAUACUGCCUUCCCCAGAUAUCUCUGACAUGGCUUUCCAGGAGUCAGCCUUUCUUGACUAUGACAUUCCUGGUAUCUUGGAGGCCAUUACUUCCCUCACAGGCUGGCACAGACCCCACCAUGGGCCAUUGGUUGUCUUUCCUGCAUCUUCUCAUGUGAUGAAGCUGUUCCUCAAGGUGUCUGAAAAAGUAACUGGCCAACCUCUGAGGGUACGUGGUUACUAUCAGCAGAGGGCUCCCUGGUCCCAAAAGAGAUGGCUUGGAGAUGGUGGCAAUGACAUAAGAAACGACAUAACACCUGUGUCAUCCUUCCAGGACUCCACCCCAGGACAACUCUAUUUCUAUUUAACUAUUCAUUUUAGCCCCAAUCUGAGUUUUUGUCAUUACUACCCAGUGCCAAGAGUGUCAUGUUCCCUUUUCUACAUAGUGAAACCUGGCUUCCUUCUCACUAAAGAUGUUUUGCUAAAUUUUUGUUUUUGAUUUUUUUUUUUUUUUUUUAGGGCCACACCCAUGGCAUAUGGAGGUUUCUAGGCUACAAGUCAAAUUGGAGCUGUAGCUGCUGGCCUAUACCACAACCACAGCAAUGCCAGAUCUGAGCUGCAUCUAUGACCUACACCACAGCUCAUGGCAACACUGGACCCUUAACCCACUGAGAGAGGCCAGGUAUCUAACCUGCGUCCUCGUGUAUCCUAGUCAGAUUUGUUUCCACUACACCAUGAUGGGAACUCCUAGUUCAACUUUCCACCUUUAUAUGGACCCUAGGUAUCUCGGGUUUCCACCCUCUGCUGCAAGUAUGAAUCAAAACUCUGGUCAACUGGACCUCCUGGAGAAAUUCCCAGAGAAGAUCCUUGUUUUAGCAUUUGCUUCUUGGAACUUAAAUGUUCUUGAAUAUUAAGCACAGUGUGCUUGGCAGUUUAGCUCUGAACAUUAAAUAUGCCUAAUAUGUUAGGUGUUUGUGUCUUAUUUUUUCUAGAAUAUCUAGUCUUCAACAGCAGAAGUAGAUGUUACGAAGUAUUCAUCUCAUUCUGAUAGGCUUAUGGAAUGUCUGUUGCUUUACUCCUAAGUUACUUUCACAUUUUUGUGAGUUUCUUUAAUUAUCACCACAGACUAAACACCAUUUCCAACUCUGCUGAAAUUUAGUUUAAAUAGAUUCAUAAAACUCAUGUGAAUUUUACUAAUACACAGUCACUUAACAUUUUGCUAUCCUGUUCUGUUAGUGUCCUAUCUUGUGAGAAUCCACUUGUUCCCUUCGUUUUUCCUCCAAGGGAACUGAGUAAUAAGUGUAUUAUGCUGGUGUUAGAAGUCUCGUUAGUAUUAAUCAGGCCAGGUUUUGGUGGUGUAUCAGGCUGUAAUGGGCUGGGAAAUAUUAGAAUGUUCAUGAGUGCAAGAAAAUUGCACUGGCCAACUUUGAAAGGUGGAUAGAAGUCUUCGUUCUUGUGUUACAAAAGUGAGAGGUAAGGUCCUGUUCCCAUAGUAUAGGAGAAACCAUAUGAUGCUUACUUAAGAGAUGAAUUUUAUUGCAGGUAGUUGAUUUGGGAGAUAUGGGAAACCUGGAGAAUAGGGAAGUAAAAUACAUAAAGGAAGGCAUCCAGUGAUGGUGCAUUAUUCCAACAGCCACUGCUGGAAACAACCUAGGAAAACAGUGUAAGAUACACCUAAGAAUUCUCAUACCUCAGGUGCCAAAGGAUCUGGUAUACAUAUAUACACCAACCUCUCAGUUACUGAGGUGGGCUGAUGUAGAAGCUUCUAGCAGAUGAAUGCUCAAAGUAUUGAUAGUCAAGGAUACCUUCCUCCAAGGACAAACUCGGACAGUGACCCAAUGUGGUGAUGGUACACCAUGGUACCAUUGUCACCCUAGGCUGGACUAGCUAACAGGCUUUGAAGCCUUGUGUGGGGCUGCAAGAGACUAAGGUGAGCAUGGUGGUGGUGGACAGCUCUCCAUGCCAAAUCCAGCUUCCUUUCCUCUUAAGUCACAACUGUUAACUCCCCCAAUAAACCUUAUACAAGCAUAAAUUGCAGUAUCUGCUUCAGAAUAGCUCAGUGUGUAGUAACUUCCUUAUCUGCCCAGGUCCUGAUUAGACAGUUACUUUUCUACCUGAGGGGCUUCCUACAUAUGUGCAACCUUUAUCAUUGCUGGGAUCAUCAGGCACCCGGUUCUGGAUGGGUUGUUCAUGUUGCAUAGAUGGUUGGGUGUCAGGCUCUGCAAGGGCCCAGGAACAAUCCUGAAGUAAUUUUUAAGUGAGGUAUACCUGUUACACAGGAAGAGGACAUGUCUUGGGUUUGCCAGAGAGUCCACUGACAUCCUUGCUCUAAUAUACCACAAAUCCCAGUGGAUCUGCGGGGCAUGAGGCACAGGGAAGGGCAUCCCACCAGCUAGAGGAGCUGCAGAGCUUCUCUUGUUCUGAUCCCACUCCUGGCAGAUCACAUUAACUCAUACUAGCUCAGCAGUUUGGCAGAGCUUCUGUUGUCUUCCAGCUCCUAUAUUCUAGAUAUCAGCUGCUGAACAGUCAAUAUUUCAUUGUAAAUAGCCUUUUUUUUCCCCUGUGAAAAUUUAAGUUUCUCCUAUUAAACUUAGCAAAUUUUCUAGGAUAUGUGGAAGUAUUUCAUCAAUCCUUCCUGGAUUGCCCUUUCAAACCCUUAAGAUCAAGGAAACUUUCUUCUUUUACUCUUGAUCCAUAGGCAUCAAGGAAGGAAAAGGUCAAUGUACAUACAAAACUUCUUGGAUCUCCCCUCAAGCUUCUGCAUCUUUCAGUUUACUCUUAUCCUGUAUCAGACGAAAGCUUCCAGAAUCCAGCUUCCUGCAGUGGCUCCAUGUAAAAUCCCUAGGACAUGUGUUUGAAUAGGCAAAAGUCCUGUAUCCGCUGAUGUUCUUGUAUUAGAAACUGCACGUCUUCCUUCAAAAGACCAUUCAAAAGUUUAUAUUCUCUUCCAGCUGUUGGGGUCACUAGUAUACAGUGAGAUUUGUGAACCUGUGAUAACUUUGCCUGCAAAAUUUUCUGUUCCCCAGUCCUUGUUCUAGUUCUGUCUCAGGGAGCCAUUGACGUUUUCUCUGCUUGCAAGCUUAGGUUUUUUUCCUGCCUCAUCCCACUGUCCUAAAGUAUUUUUUUUUUUUUGAGCAGUGGUUCUCCAAUGAUUACUAUGCAAUGUCUUGCCAAUAGUACUAAACUUAUUCAUAGUUAAUCUCAGACUAGACAGUAAAGUGUCUAAAUACAAAUUUCCAACCAUCAGUGUCAGACUAAUUGAGCCAUUUUCACUUGAGCCUGCCUAACAAAUAGCCUUCCCCAAUCUGCCACAGACUUUAAUAACCUGGGGCCGAUGGCCAUGUUAAAAGAACGUUUUAAACAGUCUCAACUUGGAUUGGGGAUCAUGAUUCACCUAAAAUUGUAUCAUUCUUACUCUAGUCAACAGGAUCCCGGGAAGGUUUAGAGAAGUGAAUCCAUAGAUCUCGCAGUGAUGCCCAGGUCCAGCCUAAGUAGGUUGCAGGCCCACUUAUAGGUCAUGGCCUGAUCCUAGGAGUAGUCUGCCUCCUAGGCAUCCAGGCAGCUUUGUGUAGUAGUCUGGGGUAUGUGGGUAACUUCUGGCAUGAGGAAGCCUGAAUAUGGGAAAUUCUCCACAUGAUUGGUUUGCAAAGGUUUACCUUCCACUGUCUACCAACCUAGGCACGUGUGGCUUAGCAACUUCUGAUGCCAGUGUUGCUUUGGCUUGACAAAUCAAAGGAUCUUAUGGUUGAUUCUGAAUCAGAGCAAGUCAUGUAAAACAAGGAAUGAGACAGCAGCCAGAACCUGCUGCCAAGUUCCCUGUUGUUGGAAGGUGACUGUGGGGUUCAGGCAGUGUCAAUGAGAUCAAAGUCCUCAUCUGGGAAAGAUAAGUUUUAAUAGACUUUGGGAGGGACAUAAGGGCAGAUAACUGCACUACUCCAAAGCAUGAGAUCUGGCAUUUGUGUUCCAGUUACUCAGCAUGAAUUUGGCUAACAGCAAAAGAGUUGGUGUACCCGCAGAAACACAUUGGCUUUGGGCACCUCCUGGUACCUUUUGCUAAGGAUGGCAACCUUUUAUCCAAGUAUCUAUCACUGCAUGGUGCCUCUGCCG
rnacentral:lncRNA from 1 species